rnacentral:rRNA from 1 species
UUUUGUCGGAGAGUAAAGUACGCUACGUGUAGUGUAUUGCAAGUAUCCGAAGAAAAAGCAUCGGCUAACUCCGUGCCAGCAGCCGCGGUAAUACGGAGGAUGCAAGCGUUAUCCGGAUUUAUUGGGUUUAAAGGGUGCGUAGGCGGCACGCCAAGUCAGCGGUGAAAUUUCCGGGCUCAACCCGGAGUGUGCCGUUGAAACUGGCGAGCUAGAGUACACAAGAGGCAGGCGGAAUGCGUGGUGUAGCGGUGAAAUGCAUAGAUAUCACGCAGAACCCCGAUUGCGAAGGCAGCCUGCUAGGGUGAAACAGACGCUGAGGCACGAAAGCGUGGGUAUCGAACAGGAUUAGAUACCCUGGUAGUCCACGCAGUAAACGAUGAGUACUAACUGUUUGCGAUACAAUGUAAGCGGUACAGCGAAAGCGUUAAGUAUUCCACCUGGGGAGUACGCCGGCAACGGUGCAACUCAAAUGAAUUGACGGA